rnacentral:rRNA from 1 species
UACAGAGGUGGCAAGCGUUGUUCGGAAUUACUGGGCGUAAAGGGCGCGUAGGCGGCCCGUCAAGUCCCGUGUGAAAGCCCCCGGCUCAACCGGGGAACGGCGCGGGAAACUAGCAGGCUUGAGUUCGGGAGAGGGAAGCGGAAUUCCGGGGUGUAGCGGUGAAAUGCGCAGAUAUCCGGAGGAACACCGGUGGCGAAGGCGGCUUCCUGGACCGAGCACUGACGCUGGAGGCGCGAAGCUAGGGGAGCAAACGGG